AAGUCGUAACAAGGUUUCCGUAGGUGAACCUGCGGAAGGAUCAUUAACACGUAUCCAACGUUAAAAACCCCGUGAACCUUUAAAACGCUGUGUCCCAGGACUAAUGGGAGAAAUGUAAUGAGAAGGGACUUCUGAGGUUGGCUUUCUGGUUUCAGACCGCGUCGUAGUGACUUUUUUUCCCCAAGCAAUCCGUGAGUGAAAGUGUCAUUGGUUGCGUAAGGAUUUCGCCUAGCGAUCACUGGAGGUCGAUCACCGACCGGUGGACUAAGUCACAGGGCUUCGGCUCCCUAAUAACCCCCAUUCAAUUUGCCGCUCCGCGCUAACAACGCCGGGCACUUAAAAACGUACUAAACAACUGUUAACAAUGGAUAUCUUGGUUCUC
rnacentral:misc_RNA from 1 species